AACGAACGCUGGCGGCGUGCCUAACACAUGCAAGUCGAGCGAGAAAGUUCCCUUCGGGAGCGAGUAAAGCGGCGAACGGGUGAGUAACACGUAGGUAACCUACCCUCGAGUCCGGGAUAACCUGUCGAAAGACGGGCCAAUACUGGAUACGACUGCGGGAGCGUCAGCUCCUGCGGUGAAAGGUGGCCUCUGCUUGCAAGCUAUCACUCAUGGAUGGGCCUGCGGACCAUUAGCUAGUUGGUGAGGUAACGGCUCACCAAGGCGAAGAUGGUUAGCUGGUCUGAGAGGACGGCCAGCCACACUGGGACUGAAACACGGCCCAGACUCCUACGGGAGGCAGCAGUGAGGAAUAUUGCGCAAUGGGCGAAAGCCUGACGNAGCGACGCCGCGUGGGUGAUGAA
rnacentral:rRNA from 1 species